rnacentral:rRNA from 1 species
AUUGAACGCUGGCGGCGGGCUUUACACAUGCAAGUCGAACGAGUGGCGGACGGGUGAGUAACGCCUCGGAAAGUGCCUGAUGAUGGGGGAUAACUACUCGAAAGGACAGCUAAUACCGCAUACUAUUCGAUCUGCCGAUGUCUGAUUAGCUGGUUGGAGGGGUAAAGGCCCACCAAGGCGACGAUCCGUAGCGGGUCUGAGAGGAUGAACCGCCACACUGGGACUGAGACACGGCCCAGACUCCUACGGGAGGCAGCAGUGGGGAAUGUUGGACAAUGGGCGCAAGCCUGAUCCAGCCAUGCCGCGUGUCUGAAGAAGGCCUUCGGGUUGUAAAGGACUUUUGUCAGGGAAGCGGUACCUGAAGAAUAAGCACCGGCUAACUACGUGCCAGCAGCCGCGGUAAUAC